AACGAACGCUGGCGGCAUGCCUAACACAUGCAAGUCGAACGAGACCUUCGGGUCUAGUGGCGCACGGGUGCGUAACGCGUGGGAAUCUGCCCUUGGGUUCGGAACAACAGUUGGAAACGACUGCUAAUACCGGAUGAUGACUUCGGUCCAAAGAUUUAUCGCCCAAGGAUGAGCCCGCGUAGGAUUAGCUUGUUGGUGAGGUAAAAGCUCACCAAGGCGUCGAUCCUUAGCUGGUCUGAGAGGAUGAUCAGCCACACUGGGACUGAGACACGGCCCAGACUCCUACGGGAGGCAGCAGUGGGGAAUAUUGGACAAUGGGCGAAAGCCUGAUCCAGCAAUGCCGCGUGAGUGAUGAAGGCCUUAGGGUUGUAAAGCUCUUUUACCCGGGAUGAUAAUGACAGUACCGGGAGAAUAAGCCCCGGCUAACUCCGUGCCAGCAGCCGCCGCAG
rnacentral:rRNA from 1 species